rnacentral:lncRNA from 1 species
AGCCGUUAAACCAUGCAUCACUCUUCGUGGCUGGCUGACUGACCAGCGCGUCACCCAUUUUCCCGUCCAUCCCUUCCUCCUCUGCAUCUUUCUCCCCCUCCCCACCCUGCCUCGUUCUUCCAUCACCCCUCCCUCCAUCCUUCGGUCUGUCCAUACAUCCAUCCGUCCAUCCAUCCUCUCCAUUAUUCCAGUAAAAACUCAAGCCGGCCUGCCAGUGUUGCUAGAACUGUUCAGACACUUGGAGAGAGGCAGAGAAAGAAGAUAACAAAACAGGGCAGGGAAAAGAAAAAUGGAAGAAGAAAUAAAGAAAAGAUAAGUGAAUUUACUCCAGUUAUUUUAUUAGAAAUUUUACUAUGAUGCAUAGCAUAGCAGUAAAAAUCAAUGAGCAAAGAUCAGAUGGUCCAAAAGAUAGCUCUUCAUAUUUGUGAAAUAAAUCUAAGCUUGUUUUGUUUGUUGUUUAAUCGCUAAGUCAGGUCCGACACUGCGACCCCAUGGACUCUGACCCCAGGCUCCUCUGUCUGUGGGAUUUCCCAGGCAGGAAUAUUAGAGUGGGUUGCCAUUUCCUUCUCCAGGGGAUCUUCCCAACCCAGGGAUCGAACCCACUUCUCCUGCACUGGCAGGCGAAUUCUUUACCACUGCGUCAGCAGGGAAUGAUGUAAGCUACAGCUUCCCUGAGAUAACACAGCAGGUGACCGUGGCGCGUUAGAAGGAGCAAGCAGCAGUGCGGACCUGUAGGAACCACUGGCAGAGGUGAGCCGCCCUUGUGUCUGCACAAGGCCCCAGCUGGUGUGCUGGGUGGGGUCUCUGCUGCAACCCCCAGCCUCUCUAGCCGCCCGAGCCCGUCUGGGGAACCAUCGUCUGGGAGGGCAGGGCCGUGUCCCCCCAGCUCUGGGAGUGGACACACCGCCCGCCUGCUCUGCGUGCCCUCCACCCCCAGCCUUGUGCGCGGGUGGCAAACGGUCACGUGACCGAGCCGUGCAAUCUGCUUUCGCCUCGGGCCUUUGUCUGGAGCCGCCAGGAAGGAGAUGAGGGAGGAACCUGGAGUCCAGGAGGGCAUCCUGCGGAGGAGGGGCCGACAAUGGAGGAGUGUCCAGUUACCACCCUGGGCAGGCAACUUCCCCAUCACACCUCUGCUCUGAGCUCCUGGAGAAAAGCAACUUCCUUAUUUCCUGUGCCGACAGCAGGAGGCUCUGGGGGACGCGUCUGAGGGCUUUCUGGGGUGGUGAGCUAGGGGUAGGGGGACUAGAGGGCAUGUAUUAAAGCACCUUCGAGCCUUUGAACACAGCUGCAUCUUCAAAGGCACCUGCCGAGGAUCAGGGGCCCAGAACAACCACAGCUUCCCGCCGAGGAGAGAAACCCUCUUUGUACUAAAAUCUACGGAGGCAGUUUCUGUGCGCCCCAAGGUGUUUCUUUCGGUGGUCCUCCUAAGUCUGGCUCUAGGAUGUCUGUUUUGUGUAAUAGAUGAUAGAUUCCCCAAAGUUAAAAAUAAAUCUAGCCUUGAUCCGUUAAAAGAGGGAAUU